UUGAGAGGAGUGAUGAAGGUGAGUAAGGGUUUGGGGGCUUCUUUUUUUUUUUUUUAAUUUUAAGAAUUGAAAUUUUUUCAAAUACUCUUGACUUUAAAACUUAAAAUCCAUAAUAUAUGAGGAUAUUUUUGUCUACUAUAACUCGUACACAUUACUAAAAUGUACCAACUGAAAAACAGACAUACGAUAUAUAUAUAUAUAUAUAAUAUGAUUUUGAUAAAGUACUUUUGAAGUAGAACAUAAAAUUCAUAAUAGCUAAGUUGUUGUUUCAUCGUGAAAGAGCUUUAUGUUUCAAAAAAAAAAAAAAACUAACAUACAAAAAACAUUUUGAUGUUUAAGUCACUAAGAAAAC
rnacentral:lncRNA from 1 species